rnacentral:rRNA from 1 species
GAUGAACGCUGGCGGCGCGCCUAAUACAUGCAAGUAGAACGCUGAAGGAAGGAGCUUGCUCUUUCCGGAUGAGUUGCGAACGGGUGAGUAACGCGUAGGUAACCUGCCUGGUAGCGGGGGAUAACUAUUGGAAACGAUAGCUAAUACCGCAUAACAGUAGAUAUUGCAUGAUAUCUGCUUGAAAGGGGCAAUUGCUCCACUACCAGAUGGACCUGCGUUGUAUUAGCUAGUUGGUGAGGUAACGGCUCACCAAGGCGACGAUACAUAGCCGACCUGAGAGGGUGAUCGGCCACACUGGGACUGAGACACGGCCCAGACUCCUACGGGAGGCAGCAGUAGGGAAUCUUCGGCAAUGGACGGAAGUCUGACCGAGCAACGCCGCGUGAGUGAAGAAGGUUUUCGGAUCGUAAAGCUCUGUUGUAAGAGAAGAACGAGUGUGAGAGUGGAAAGUUCACACUGUGACGGUAUCUUACCAGAAAGGGACGGCUAACUACGUG